rnacentral:lncRNA from 1 species
GUGCCAGCCAUCUCUGAAAAAGUUCACUCUUCCUGUGCUCCUCCUUUGCAUCGAGUGCAUUCUUCAGGAUCAAACCAGCCAACCUACGGCUCUCCUCAGGUUUCUCAUCACUGGCCAACUCACUUGAGAGGGAGAACAAGAAACCUGGGAGGUUUUGUUCCUGAAACUGCUUGAGGCUUUCUUCAGCAUGCUUCCUAAUCGCGCCAUCGGCAGAUUGUGCACUCAAGAGUAUUUGAGUAACAUCCAGUGAC